GCUUGCUUCUCUUGAGAGCGGCGGACGGGUGAGUAAUACCUGGGAAUCUGCCUGAUAGUGGGGGAUAACGUUCGGAAACGGACGCUAAUACCGCAUACGUCCUACGGGAGAAAGCAGGGGAUCUUCGGACCUUGCGCUAUCAGAUGAGCCCAGGUCGGAUUAGCUUGUUGGUGAGGUAACGGCUCACCAAGGCUGCGAUCCGUAACUGGUCUGAGAGGAUGAUCAGUCACACUGGAACUGAGACACGGUCCAGACUCCUACGGGAGGCAGCAGUGGGGAAUAUUGGACAAUGGGGGAAACCCUGAUCCAGCCAUGCCGCGUGUGUGAAGAAGGUCUUCGGAUUGUAAAGCACUUUAAGUUGGGAGGAAGGGCUGAUGCUUAAUACGUAUCAGUCUUGACGUUACCGACAGAAUAAGCACCGGCUAACUCUGUGCCAGCAGCCGCGGUAAUACAGAGGGUGCAAGCGUUAAUCGGAAUUACUGGGCGUAAAGCGCGCGUAGGUGGCUAAGUAAGAUGGGUGUGAAAUCCCCGGGCUCAACCUGGGAACUGCAUCCAUAACUGCUUAGCUAGAGUACGGUAGAGGGUAGUGGAAUUUCCUGUGUAGCGGUGAAAUGCGUAGAUAUAGGAAGGAACACCAGUGGCGAAGGCGACUACCUGGACUGAUACUGACACUGAGGUGCGAAAGCGUGGGGAGCAAACAGGAUUAGAUACCCUGGUAGUCCACGCCGUAAACGAUGUCAACUAGCCGUUGGGAACCUUGAGUUCUUAGUGGCGCAGCUAACGCACUAAGUUGACCGCCUGGGGAGUACGGUCGCAAGAUUAAAACUCAAAUGAAUUGACGGGGGCCCGCACAAGCGGUGGAACAUGUGGUUUAAUUCGAAGCAACG
rnacentral:rRNA from 1 species